AACGCGAAGAACCUUACCUACCCUUGACAUCCUAGGGAUUUACCAGAGAUGGUGAAGUGCCGAAAGGAACCUAGAGACAGGUGCUGCAUGGCUGUCGUCAGCUCGUGUUGUGAGAUGUUGGGUUAAGUCCCGUAACGAGCGCAACCCUUAUCCUUAGUUACCAACAUGUAGUGGUGGGGACUCUAAGGAGACUGCUGGUGAAGAACCGGAGGAAGGCGGGGACGACGUCAAGUCAUCAUGGCCUUUAUGGGUAGGGCUACACACGUGCUACAAUGGGCAGUACAGAGGGUAGCGAACCCGCGAGGGGGAGCCAAUCCCAAAAAGCUGUUCGUAGUCCGGAUCGAAGUCUGCAACUCGACUUCGUGAAGUCGGAAUCGCUAGUAAUCGCGAAUCAGAAUGUCGCGGUGAAUACGUUCCCGGGCCUUGUACACACCGAGUAUA
rnacentral:rRNA from 1 species